UGAGGACCCAGUUUCAUUCUCCUACAUGUGACUUGCCAAUUAUCCCAGCACCAUUUGUUGAAAAAGGUGUCCUUUCCCCACUUUAUGUUUUUGUUUGCUUUGUUGAAGAUUGGUUGACUGGAAGCCCUGAGCCAUGAAAUAAGAGGUCUGACUAUGCUGCAGAAGAGAUCAUAAGGAGAGAUCCUGAGACUUCAGGGAGAGGAAGACAGAGUGAUCCAGGGCAGCCUAUCAUUCCACUCACCUGACACAGGCAGCAAGCAUGUGAAUAAUGCCACUGUGGCCCGGAUCAGAUGGGUAGCAGACUGGCCACCAGCAAAACAGCACUGAGUUAGUUAUCCCAUGUGGUGCAGAAGUAUAGCUCAUUUGAGCCCUGGCUGAAUUUCUGACCCACAAAAUUGUGACAUUAAUAAAAUGGUUGUUAUUUUAUGUCACUAUCUUUGGGGAUAGUUUGUUACACACCACUAGUUAAAUGGAACCAUCUGGGUGGAAGUUGAAGACUGGUGAUCCAAUCAAUCACCAAAGUGUUCAUGAAACUCAUCUUUUACUAUCCCUCUGCCUAUAUUUUUAUCACUGAGAGAUUCUUCAUAAGGGUGAAUAUAUCAGAUCUAGAGGUUAUAGGUUUUAGACUCUUAUCCCUGGAGAAGGCAUAGACUUGUAGCCUUGUAUGCAGUUUUAUGCCCUGAGAUUCUAGUUCAGCAACAAGUUAUAAAUGUGCUAUACCUUGUAUAUCUGCUGAAAAUUUAAAACAUAGCAAUGAUUAAUUAAAUGAAAUGCCAAAGCAAAUUGUAUGAGAAAGGAUCAAUUUCUGUAAUGGCAGUAAGAACCAUGGCAAACUUGCUCUCCCUCUAAAACAACAAAAAUACAGUCAUUUUUUGGUCAACAACAAACUGCACAUAGGAGAGUGGUCUUAUAAGAUUCUAAUACCAUGAUUUUAUUGUUUCUUUUUACAUUUAGAUGUGUUUAGAUACACAAACGCUUACCAUUGUGUUACAAUUGCCUACAGUAUUCAGUACAGUAACAUGCUGUACAGCAUUGCAGCUUAGGAGCAAUAGACUAUACCAUAUAGCCUAGGUGUGUAGUAGGCUAUACCAUCUAGGUUAGUAUAAGUGCACUCUAUAUUCUCACAAUGACAAAAUUGCCUAACUACAUAUUUAUCAGAAUAUAUUCCUGUCAUUCAGCAAUGCAUAACUGUACAGGCAAAAAUAUUGAAGUCAAUCAACUCAAAACUCGACAGUUGACCAAAGCAUAUAGCAACCUGAAAACUAUGUAUCCAAGCAAAAGUAUUAAAUUUGGGUUACAUGGAAGGAAUUCUGUGAAGUUUUAACUUGGAGAUAUUCACAUGUUCUUCCUGUUCCAGCUCAGUGGCAUGGUAGACAAAAGCCAGCAAUGAUGAAGGCAAGAGAGAGCUGACCACUUUUAGAUCUUUUGUAAAGGUACCACUUCCAGAACACAGUCAAUAUUUUGUCCAUGUUUGCAGCUUCCUGGGAAAUCUUUAUUCUCUGAGCAUAAUGGUGAUGUGAUUUGACUCAGCUCAGCUCCUUCCCAGCAGCAUCUCAGCUGCUUAGAUGAAAGGCUGUGAUUUCAGUUGAGGCAAACAACAAGCUGGCUGGGAAUUUAAAAGAAAAUCCAGGAAAACUAGACAACCAUGGGAAACUCUGAAAAGCUUCCACAUAUUUCUGGGUGUUUAAAAAGUAGUGGGAAAAUCCAGAAAAAAAAAAACUGGGAAAGGAGAAGGCACCAGUCAUUCACCUCUGGCUGACUUUGAGGCCAUGUACAAGCAGGAAGUGAGAGCGAAGGCUGUUUCAUAAAUUGCCUGUAGUGUGAUGGCUUGCCUUCUCAUACAGAUUCCUCUUGCAAAGGGUAGAGAUAAAAAGGCAGGGCAUUUUUUUAAAAAAUCUGAUCUAUUAUUGGCUGACCACAUAUUGAUUUCAGUGUGACCCCUAGGAAGCCAAACUUAAAAAUAAAAACAAGAACUUAAGAAAAAAAAAAUGACUAGAGAACUCAACUCAAAAGCCAUACACUGCUGAGAAUACAAAAUCUACAGAAUUAGUCCAGGGAAGUCACUAAAUGAAUAAACAGAAACAAGAAAAACAAUAGCAAAAACAACAAAUCAGCUACAACAAACCUAUGGGAACAGGAGAAUCUGAUACCAGCAUUGCAACAAUACAUCUAAAAUGUCCAGUUUUCAACAAAAAAAGACAUGAGAAAGAGAAAAACAUGGCGCAUUCAUAGGAAAAAAGAGAGCCAACAGAAAAUAUCCAUGAGGAUGCUCAGAUUGUCUUCCUAGAAAACAAAGAUUUUAAAUCAGCAAUUAUAAGUAAAAUAUGUUUAAAGAACUGAAGGAAAGUAGGACAAUGAUGCCUGUCCAAAUAGACAACAUCAAUAUAGAGACAAAAUUAUUCUUUAAAAACCUCUGGAAUCCAGAAGUAUAAUAACUGCAAUGAAGUAUUAAUUAGAGGCACUGAACAACAGAUUUGAGCUGGGAGGAGAAAGAAUCAGUGAACUUGAAGACAGAUCAAUAGGUAUUAUCCAGUAUGCAAAGAUGAAAAAAGAAUGGGAGAGAAAAAGAAUGAUGAAAAAAUGAAUAAAUCCUCAGACAUUUGUCAGAAACCAUCACAUGUUCCAACAUAUACAUGAAAACCCCAGAAAAAUAAAAUUGAAAUAUAAAAGGGCAGAAAAAUAUUACAGAAAUAUGCCAAAUGCUUUUCAAAUUUAAUGAAAAAUAUGAAUCAACACUUUAAACAGGAUCAAUAGGCUGGGCGCGGUGGCUCACGUCUGUAAUCCCAGCACUUUGGGAGGCAGAGGCGGGCAGAUCACAAGGUCAGGAGUUUGAGACCAGCCUGACCAGCAUGGUGAAACCCUGUUUCUACUAAAAAUACAAAAAAGUAGCCGGGCGUGGUGGCACGUGCCUGUAAUCUCAGCUACUCAGGAGGCUGAGUCAGGAGAAUCGCUUGAACCCAGGAGGCGGAGAUUGCAGUGAGCCAAGAUGAUGCCAUUAUACUCCAGCCUGGGUGACAGAGCAAGACUCCAUCUGAAGAAAAAAAACGACACUCAACAAGCUUUAAGUAGAGUAAACUCAGAAAGACCCAUAGCUAGACAUAACACAAUCAAAUUAAUAAAAAUCAAGAAAAAGAUAAAAUCUUGAGAUUAGCAAGAGAAAAAGGACUUAUCACGGACAUAGUAUCCUCAAUAAGAUUAAUGACUAACUUACUAGAAACCAUGGAGAGUAGAAGACAGUGGAAUGACAUCUUCAAAGUACUAAAAGAAAAGCACUGUCAACCAAGAUUUCUACAUCUAGCUAAACUCUCUUCAAAAUUGAGGGAGAAAUUAAAAUAUUUUCAGAAAGAUAAAAACUGAGAAUUCAUCACUAGCAGACUACAAGAAAUAGUAAAGGGAUUUCCUUCAGACUGAAAGAAAAGGACACUAGAUGGUAACUUGAAUCCACACAAAAAUACACAGAGGAC
rnacentral:lncRNA from 10 species